AAAAAUUGAAUUUUUUCAUUGAAAAGUAUAAAUCUUUAUUAAAAGUAUGUAUAUUUUUAUUAAAAUAUUAACCACAUAAUAAAAUUAAUUUAUCAGAUUUAUACCAACUUAAUUCAUUAAAGAAAUAAAGAUUAAUUUUUUAAACAUAAAUAGUCAUUUAAAAUAAAAUACGAUAAAUAAAAAUAAAAAGUUUAAGUCUUUUAAAAAAUAAAACACAAAUAUAUGAAAAUAUGAUAUUUACUAAAUAUUUUUCAAUUGAAAAAAAAACAAAAAUAAAUCCGUGCUUUAAAAACGCAGAUCAAAAUCUAGUUACUUAAUUAUUAUAAAAUCAUUGUCUUUCAACGUGUUGUUGGAGUGAAACUGAUUAAGCCUAUAGGAAUUCACAUGCGCUAAGCAAC
rnacentral:lncRNA from 1 species